rnacentral:rRNA from 1 species
GGCAACAGCUCAAAUUUGAAAGCUAGCCUUCGGGUUCGCAUUGUAAUUUGUAGAGGAUGAUUUGGGGAAGCCGCCUGUCUAAGUUCCUUGGAACAGGACGUCAUAGAGGGUGAGAAUCCCGUAUGUGACAGGAAAUGGCACCCUAUGUAAAUCUCCUUCGACGAGUCGAGUUGUUUGGGAAUGCAGCUCUAAAUGGGAGGUAAAUUUCUUCUAAAGCUAAAUAUUGGCGAGAGACCGAUAGCGCACAAGUAGAGUGAUCGAAAGAUGAAAAGCACUUUGGAAAGAGAGUUAAAAAGCACGUGAAAUUGUUGAAAGGGAAGCGCUUGCAAUCAGACUUGUUUAAACUGUUCGGCCGGUCUUCUGACCGGUUUACUCAGUUUGGACAGGCCAGCAUCAGUUUCGGCGGCCGGAUAAAGGCUCUGGGAAUGUGGCCUCCACUUCGGUGGAGGUGUUAUAGCCCAGGGUGUAAUACGGCCAGCCGGGACUGAGGUCCGCGCUUCGGCUAGGAUGCUGGCGUAAUGGUUGUAAGCGACCCGUCUUGAA